rnacentral:lncRNA from 1 species
CUUCCUGGUCCUUGAUGCAGACCAGAAAAAAGGAAGAGGAGGAAGAGAAGGAGGAGGAAGAGGAAGAAGAGAAGGAAGAAGAGGAAGAAGAGAUGGAAGAAGGGGAAAGGAGAUCUGGAGCUGUCUCUUUAAAUCUUUCUAGAAGUCCAACAGAAAUAGAACAUUUAUCUGUGUGAAGGCUACACAGGCUUAACUAAAAAUGUCAAGUUUCUUUGCUGGAAUUUUAACAGGGAACAUGAUAAGUGUACAUUUAUUCAGUAAUGAUCAAUUCCGGGUUCUCUUUUGUAUGAGAUGAAAUGGUGACAUGCUGCUCAGAAGCUCUGCUUGGUUUUGUUUCAUACAAAAUCACCUCUUGAAGUUAUAAUUGCUGGAUGAAUGUUAUCUGAUUGUCCUAAACUCUUGCUCUUCUCUCUGUGUUGUGUGCCCUGGGGAGAGGCUACAAAGAUGGGAUAAUAAAAAAGUAAAAUGUUUGCUUUAAAAAAAAUUUUUUUUUUAAUUUUUUUUUUUAGAUAGGGUCAUGGUGGCUCAUGCCUGUAAUCCCAACACUCAGGAGCCUGAGGCAGGAGGAUUGCUGUGACUUCAAGGCUAGGCUGGGCUACAUAGCAAAACCCUGUCCCCAAACAAAACAGGCCAAGGAUUUAACUCAGUGGCACCACACCUGCCUUGCAAGUGCAAGGUCCUGAGUUUGAUGCCUGGUACCAAAACAAAACAAAACAAAAAAAGGAAGGAUUAGAGGUGUGGGCCACCACACCUGUAUCUGUAUUUUACAGAUGAGAAAACUGAGAUCAAGGGGUCUGAUCAGCUCAAGGUCAUGCAGUGAGGUCAAGGUCAUCUGGCGGCAGGGACCGGACCCCAGGCUUCUUGGUGUCCUGGGUGUGGAGCAGGUGCUGCUGUUCAGUGCAUUGAUCUUGCAUAUGCUGCGUGCCCACCUGGCCAUACAUCGGGAGAACAUUUCCCUGAGAGUCCCUUGUGCCUGCCCAGCCCCUCACUUCCUCCCUGGCUCCAGGCCGGUCAGAUUUGCCUGCUUCAUGAGUUUCACAGCGGAGUUUAUUCUCUUGCACCUGAGGGGUUUUUUGCUUGUUUGUUUGUUUGUUUGUUUGCUGUACUGAGGAUUGAAUUUAGGGCCUUCACACUGAGCUGCAUCCCCAUCCUUUUUUUAUACUUGUACAUUUUGAGAACAGGUCUUACUAAAUUGCUAAGUUGCCAGGCUCAAACUUGGCUCAAACUAAAGCUAGGCUCAAACUUGCAAUCCCCCUGCCUCAGCCUCCCAGAGUGCUGGGGUCACAGGUGUGCACCAACGCACCUGGUUUGACUUUUUACUCAGCAUAAGGAUUUUGAGAUUUAUCCCUGUCAUUGGAUCUAUCAUGGAUCUAUCCUUUUCACUGCAGAGUAAUAUUCCACAGUGUAGACUCACAUUGCCACGAUCUCUGUAUCUCAUAGUUUGUUUAUCCAUUCAUUUGCCUUUGGAAUGUUUGGCCCCUUCCAGAUUAUGGCUGCCAUGAGCAAUUCACCCUUGAACAUGGGUAUAGGAAUCCUUGUGUGGACAUGUGCUUUCACCUCUCUUGUGUUAGUAACUGGAAGGAGUGUGGGGGAUGCUGGCCAUAUGGUAAGUGUAUGUUCACUCCUCAAGAAACUGCCAGCCUGAAUGGUGGGGCACACCUGUCGUCCCAGCAUUUGGGAGGCUGAGGCAGGAGGAUCACCACAAGUCUGAGACCUGCCUGGGCUCCAUCGUGAGGACAUUAGUGACAGUCAGCCUUGCUCCUGCAGUCACAGCACAGCAGGUGCCCGGGAAGCAGGCGGAGGG